AUGAGUUCAGACGCCAGAGAUGUAUGUGUUGUUGGGGUUGCACGCACCCCUAUGGGUAGUUUCCUUGGUGGCUUGUCUUCCUUGCCUGCUACGAAACUUGGCUCUAUAGCAAUUGAAGCUGCUCUGAGAAGGGCAAAUGUCGAUCCAUCCCUUGUGCAGGAGGUCUUCUUUGGCAAUGUCUUGAGUGCUAACUUGGGGCAAGCUCCUGCAAGACAAGCUGCUUUAGGUGCAGGGAUACCAAAUACGGUUGUUUGCACCACAGUCAACAAAGUUUGCGCAUCUGGCAUGAAAGCGACCAUGUUUGCUGCGCAAUCAAUUCAACUGGGAAUCAAUGACAUUGUUGUGGCAGGUGGGAUGGAAAGCAUGUCGAAUGCUCCGAAAUACAUUGCUGAAGCUAGAAAAGGAUCUCGUUUCGGACAUGACAGCCUCGUUGAUGGCAUGCUUAAGGAUGGCCUUUGGGAUGUAUACGGUGAUUAUGCUAUGGGAGUGUGCGCUGAGCUUUGUGCUGACAAUCAUGCCCUGACGAGGGAAGACCAGGAUGCAUAUGCUAUUCAAAGUAAUGAGCGUGGAAUUGCUGCUCGUGACAGUGGUGCUUUUGCAUGGGAGAUUGUUCCGAUUGAAGUUCCUGUUGGUAGAGGGAAACCUGCAGUGCUUGUUGACAAAGAUGAGAGCCUAGACAAGUUUGACGCAGCCAAGCUGAAGAAGCUACGACCAGCAUUCAAGGAUAAUGCUGGUACUGUUACUGCUGGAAAUGCUUCUAGUAUAAGUGAUGGUGCUGCAGCAUUAGUAUUGGUGAGUGGGAAGAAGGCUCAAGAACUUGGAUUGCAUGUCCUUGCAAGGAUCAAGGGAUUUGCCGAUGCAGCCCAAGCUCCUGAACUAUUUACCACUACCCCAGCACUUGCCAUACCAAAGGCUCUCACGAAUGCUGGCCUAGAGUCCUCCCGUGUUGAUUUUUAUGAAAUCAACGAAGCCUUUUCGGCUGUUGCACUUGCAAAUCAAAAGCUUCUCGGAAUUCCUUCAGAAAAGAUAAAUGUACAUGGAGGAGCUGUAUCUUUAGGACACCCACUUGGGUGCAGUGGUGCUCGCAUUUUGGUCACCCUUCUUGGUGUUCUUAGGGAGAAGAGUGGCAAGAUCGGAGUUGCUGGUGUCUGCAACGGCGGUGGCGGUGCAUCUGCGCUCGUUAUGGAGCUCGCGUAA
rnacentral:rRNA from 1 species